rnacentral:lncRNA from 1 species
GGACAAUCUUCCGAGAGAAUCGUUUCCUGGCGUGGUCUACAAGAUACCCUGCGCAGAUUGCGACUACGCGUACAUCGGUAAAUACCUUGGCGUUCAGCUG